AUUGAACGCUGGCGGCAGGCCUAACACAUGCAAGUCGAGCGGAGCGGCGGACGGGCGAGUAAUGCCUAGGCAGCUGCAUGGUAGUGGGGGAUAACGUCAGGACAAGGGCGCUAAUACAGAAUCGUAUCAGAUGAGCCUAGGUCGGAUUAGCUAGUUGGUUGGGUAAAGUCCUACCAAGGCGACGAUCCGUAACUGGUCUGAGAGGAUGAGCAGUCACACUGGAACUGCGACACGGUCCAGACUCCUACGGGAACCAGCAGUGGGGAAGAUUGCACAAUGGGCGCAAGCCUGAUGCAGCCAUGCCGCGUGUAUUAAGAAGGCCUUCGGGUUUUAAAGUACUUUCAUCGGGGAGGCGUUACCCGCAGAGAAAGCACCGGCUAACUCCGUGCCAGCAGCCGCGGUAAUUC
rnacentral:rRNA from 1 species